GACGAACGCUGGCGGCGUGCUUAACACAUGCAAGUCGAACGGAAAGGCCCUGCUUUUGUGGGGUGCUCGAGUGGCGAACGGGUGAGUAACACGUGAGUAACCUGCCCUGCACUUUGGGAUAACUUCAGGAAACUGGGGCUAAUACCGGAUAGGAGCGCCUGCUGCAUGGUGGGGGUUGGAAAGUUUCGGCGGUUGGGGAUGGACGCGCGGCUUCACAGCUUUUGGGUGGGGUAGUGGCUUACCAAGGCUUUGACGGGUAGCCGGCCUGGGAGGGUGACCGGCAACAUUGGGACUGGGAUACGGCCCAGACUCCACCGGGAGGCAGCAGUGGGGAAUAUUGCCCAAUGGGCGGAAGCCGAUUGCAGCACGGCCGCGUGCGGGAUGACGGCUUUCGGUUUGUAAACCGCUUUCGCCUGUGACGAAGCGUAAGUGACGGUAAUGGGUAAAGAAGCACCGGCUAACUACGUG
rnacentral:rRNA from 1 species